rnacentral:rRNA from 1 species
UCGGGAAUUUUGGGCAAUGGGCGAAAGCCUGACCCAGCAACGCCGCGUGAAGGAUGAAAUCCUUCGGGAUGUAAACUUCGCAAGAACGGGAAGAAUAAGUAAGAGCUAACAUCUCUUAUGAUGACGGUACUGUUUGUAAGCUCCGGCUAACUCCGUGCCAGCAGCCGCGGUAAUACGGGGGGAGCAAGCGUUGUUCGGAUUUACUGGGCGUAAAGGGCGCGUAGGCGGCCACUGCAAGUCAGUUGUGAAAUCUCCGGGCUUAACCCGGAAAGGUCAACUGAUACUGCAGGGCUAGAGUGCAGAAGGGGCAACUGGAAUUCUCGGUGUAGCGGUGAAAUGCGUAGAUAUCGAGAGGAACACCUGCGGCGAAGGCGGGUUGCUGGGCUGACACUGACGCUGAUGUGCGAAAGCUAGGGGAGCGAACGG